rnacentral:lncRNA from 1 species
GCCUAUUGCUCCUAGGCUUCAAACCCAUACAGCAUGGCACUAUAUGGAAUACUGUAGGCAAUUUUAACACAAUGGAGACAACUCUGCACUGUAUCCUGCUAUUCUUCCAACUGCAGGACCUCAUGGAGCGAGAGAUCCAAACCUUUCUGAAGUACUUUACCUUCUACCUUUUUCAUGCUACUCAGGAUUGAAUCAAUUGGAAGCCAACAAAGCCAUUCUGUGUUACUGUGCCUCCUGACUGUCAGCACGCUGCACUGUGCAUUUAGAUAAUUCUGCCAGAAGGCAUUUUUAUAAAAACAGCUUUCAAAAUCUAUUCUUGAAAAGACAUUUGUAUACUCAUUAUGCCAUUCUAUCAUUUAUCCAUAGGGAGUUCUGUAAAUAAAACACUGAGGUCUAAUACU